CCACAGUGGGGAAGUAUGUUUCUUCCAGCUUCAAAAGAUAAAAAGUACAAUGAAGAACACUAUUAUUGUUCAGAAUGGACUGAUGAUGAAAAACAGAGGACUCCACCAUGGAAGUAUUAAAUUUGCGGAGAAUAGCCUAUCUGAAAUUCAGAAUGGACUGAUGAUGAAAAGCAAAGAGGACUCCACCAUGGAAGUAUUAAAUUUGCGGAGAAUAGCCGAUCUGAACGUGGAAGAAAGCACAUGAUUUCCUCCGCUGUUACCCCACCUAAUUCUACUCCUGUCCACGUUUGAUGAAAAAUACUGUAUAAUAGAGAAUUGUGAUUGGUUGCAAAUUAUAGCUCACCUAUAAGCAUGCAAUCAUGAAUCUAUUAUCAGUAGUUUAUGUAUGUCCUGAUAUAUAUCCCUUUUUAGUAGUAAUUACUAUAUAUUUCAAAAUAUUCUACUCUAACUUGGUCUUGCUCUUGUAUUGCUCGAGAUAAUUACUCCUUCCAAUAUCUGCAUUUUCUCAUAGUGAUUCUCAAAGCUUUAAAUUGAAAGAGCUAAUCAAGAUUUUAC
rnacentral:lncRNA from 1 species